UACGUAGGGUGCGAGCGUUGUCCGGAAUUAUUGGGCGUAAAGGGCUCGUAGGCGGUUUGUCGCGUCAGGAGUGAAAACACCGGGCUUAACUCGGUGCUUGCUUUCGAUACGGGCAGACUAGAGGUAUGCAGGGGAGAACGGAAUUCCUGGUGUAGCGGUGAAAUGCGCAGAUAUCAGGAGGAACACCGGUGGCGAAGGCGGUUCUCUGGGCAUUACCUGACGCUGAGGAGCGAAAGUGUGGGGAGCGAACAGG
rnacentral:rRNA from 1 species